GACGAACGCUGGCGGCGUGCCUAAUACAUGCAAGUCGAACGCAGUGGGGACGGGUGAGUAACACGUGGGUAACCUCCCAUCAGAGGGGAUAACCCUUGGAAACAGGUGCAAAACAGAUACGGAUGGAUGGACCCGCGGUGAAUUAGCUAGUUGGUGAGGAAACGGCUAACCAAGGCCACGAUGCCUAUCCGACGGGCAAGGUGGAUCGGCCACACGGGAGCUGGGACACGGCCCAGACUCCUACGGGAGGCAGCAGUAGGGAAUCUACGGCAAUGGACGAAAGUCUGACCUAUCAACGCCGCGUGAGUGAAGAAGGUUUUCGGAUCGUAAAACUCUGUUGUUCGGGAAGCGGUAUCUAACCAGAAAGCCACGGCUAACUACGUGCCAGCAGCCGCGGUAAUAC
rnacentral:rRNA from 1 species